rnacentral:rRNA from 1 species
GAUGGACGCUAGCGGCAGGCUUAAUACAUGCAAGUCGAGGGGCAACAGGGGUAGCAACACCUGCUGGCGACCGGCAAACGGGUGCGGAACACGUACAGAACCUUCCUUUAAGCGGGGGAGUAGCCCGGACGAAAUACCGGAUUAAUACCCCACUAGUAAUAUUGGUUGGCAUCAACUGGUAUUUAAAGUAUUAUUCACUUAGAGAUGGCUGUGCGGCUGAUUAGGUAGUUGGUGUGGGUAACGGCCCACCAAGCCUGCGAUCAGUAACUGGUGUGAGAGCACGACCAGUCACACGGG